ensembl:lncRNA
CACCUUGCCAUGCUAUAUUUAGGCUGAGGGAGGGGUGCCUGAUGACCCCCCCCCCCAGGCAGGUGUCGGCUUUCUUUCUAAAAAUAGCUCAGAGGAGGGGAGCAGAGUCCCAGGAUGGAGGUGUGGUAGGGUGAAGGCCCUGCCACCCAUAGGGCCGUCCCGGACUCUCUAGCUCCUAUCUCAUCUCUUAAGGGCUCUCUCCGAGGCCCUGUCCCUCCCCGGUUCCCUCCCCUUCUGUUGGGAUGUCUGCCCCUCUGUCUUCUCUGCCCAGGUCUUUGUUCCCCAUCCCUCGCCCUAGGUCUUUGCCCGCCUCUUUGCCUUAGUCUCCGUCCUUUUCCCUCUAUUUCUAUGGCUUCUCCUCCCCUCUGCAUCUGAAUCAUUUCAGUUUCUCUAGACAGGUCACCCUGUUCUAAAAACAUUUUUGUCCCCAAGUCCUUUAAUACCUCGAAUUUUUCUUGACUGAGCUCAGGACAAGACCCUCUCCCCAGUCCCCACCCAGGAAAUUCCAGGAGACAGGACUCUGUAGGAGAGCCCCCCACGUCCACUGUCUCUGAGGCGUCGGGCCUUAUCGCUGCCCAAGCCCAGCUGGUUAAUGUCUGGCGGGGAGCUCCUGGGAAAGUGGGGAUGAGAGCAGAGGGUGGGAAUCUGUCCCCAGAUUGACACCGAAUUGGCAAAAGACUGCAAAGGAUCUCAGGCCCAUCUCCUGGGUGUGAGGGAGGAGGGCUGGGGCCUGGACCACUGGAUCUGAGGGGGGAGGGGCUGGAGGGCCGGUACCCCUGGAUCUGAGCGGGGAGGGGCUGGAGGGCCGGUACCCCUGGAUCUGAGCGGGGAGGGGCUGGAGGGCCGGUACCCCUGGAUCUGAGGGAGGGCCUGAAAGAGGAGGGCCUGGACCCUGGAUCCGAGGGAGGAGAACCGGGUCUAGACACACGAAUCUGAGGGAGGAAGGCUGGGAUCCAGGACCCUUGGUCUGAGGGAGGAGGGCUGGGGUUGGUACCCCGGGGUCUGGAGCGGGGGCGGGGGCCUGGUCUCCCGGGUCUGAGGGGGGAGGGGCUGGGCCCCGACUCCUGGGACCGCGGUGCGGGGGCUGCGCGAGCCAGGCCGGGCUUCCGAGGUCCCGGCACGCGCGUGCAAGGCGGGAUCCCCCGCCCCUCCUCCGCCGUCGGGCGCCGCCCCGCCCCCGCCCCCGACCCAGGCCCUCCCGAGCGCGAGCCGCGCGGAGCCSGCGGCCAGCGGGCGUCCCUGCAGCCAGCGAGCCGGAGGAGGAGCCGCCGCCGCGCCAGGGGCAGCCGGGGAGCAGAGGAGGGCGCCCCAGGUGGUUGCCCCCUCCCUCUCCUGAGAUGUCAGGAAGGAGGGGGCCACCUGUGUCCUCCACAGGGUCCCCCAGCCCCGGAGCUUCAAGGUGGAGGAGGUGUUGACAGGUCUGGCAAACACCUGCUGCUUCCCAGAUUUCUCCAGGCUUCCAGAAUGUUGUAGACAAACAGCUAUAACCACACCCCACCAGCCUCUCCCAGCCCAGGGUCAGUUUCAUACUCAGGAAAAAUGAGGACAGACAUGAGAUGGGAAGUUAGUGGUAAUU